GAUGAACGCUAGCGGCAGGCCUAACACAUGCAAGUCGAGGGGCAUCACAGUCUAGUUCGCUAGACGGGUGGCGACCGGCGCACGGGUGCGUAACGCGUAUGUAACCUACCAUUGACAGGGGGAUAGUCAGAGGAAACUUUGAAUAAUACCGCAUAACAUAUAUAAGAGGCAUCUUUUGUAUAUCAAAAUUACGAUGGUCAAUGAUGGGCAUGCGUUUGAUUAGAUAGUUGGUAAGGUAACGGCUUACCAAGUCGACGAUCAAUAGGGGUUCUGAGAGGAUAAUCCCCCACACUGGUACUGAGACACGGACCAAACUCCUACGGGAGGCAGCAGUGAGGAAUAUUGGUCAAUGGACGCAAGUCUGAACCAGCCAUGCCGCGUGCAGGAUGACGGCUCUAUGAGUUGUAAACUGCUUUUGUAUGAGGGUAAUAUCAGGUACGUGUACCUGCUUGAAAGUAUCAUACGAAUAAGGAUCGG
rnacentral:rRNA from 1 species